rnacentral:tRNA from 1 species
GUGGAUAUAGCUCAGUGGUAGAGUGCAUGCUUAGCAUGAACAAGGUCCUGGGUUCAAUCCCCAUUAACUCCA